rnacentral:tRNA from 1 species
GGCUUGAUAAUGGGAUGUAGAGUCUCCUGCUUCUAGAUUGCUGGUUCAAAUCCAGCUCAAGUCA